rnacentral:rRNA from 1 species
UACGGAGGGUGCAAGCGUUAUCCGGAUUCACUGGGCUUAAAGGGCGCGUAGGCGGGCUUGUAAGUCAGUGGUGAAAGCCCGGGGCUUAACUCCGGAACUGCCGUUGAUACUGCAAGCCUUGAGUACAGUUGAGGUGGGCGGAAUACAUCAUGUAGAGGUGAAAUUCUUAGAUAUGAUGUAGAACACCGAUUGCGAAGGCAGCUCACUAAAGUGUAACUGACGCUGAGGUGCGAAAGCGUGGGGAGCAAACAGG